rnacentral:rRNA from 1 species
AUUGAACGCUGGCGGCAGGCCUAACACAUGCAAGUCGAGCGGAUGAAGGGAGCUUGCUCCUGGAUUCAGCGGCGGACGGGUGAGUAAUACCUAGGAAUCUGCCUGGUAGUGGGGGAUAACGUCCGGAAACGGGCGCUAAUACCGCAUACGUCCUGAGGGAGAAAGUGGGGGAUCUUCGGACCUCACGCUAUCAGAUGAGCCUAGGUCGGAUUAGCUAGUUGGUGGGGUAAAGGCCUACCAAGGCGACGAUCCGUAACUGGUCUGAGAGGAUGAUCAGUCACACUGGAACUGAGACACGGUCCAGACUCCUACGGGAGGCAGCAGUGGGGAAUAUUGGACAAUGGGCGAAAGCCUGAUCCAGCCAUGCCGCGUGUGUGAAGAAGGUCUUCGGAUUGUAAAGCACUUUAAGUUGGGAGGAAGGGCAGUAAGUUAAUACCUUGCUGUUUUGACGUUACCAACAGAAUAAGCACCGGCUAACUUCGUGC